AAACUAAUUUAGUUUGGCGGCAUUUCAUCUAUUUAGAGGAAUUUGUCAUUUAAUCGAUAAUCCACGUUAAAUUUCACUUUAGUUUAAAACUUAUAUACCGCCAUCUUAAGAAUUAAUUCAAAAAUAUUUCUCAAAAUAAAUUAUAAAAAGUUAGGUCAAGGUGUAAUCUAUAUUAAAGAAAAGAUGAAUUACAUUAAAUAAUAUUUAAAGAUUAUUAAUAAACAUAUAAAUAUAAAUAAGAAUUUAAAAGUAAUUUAUAAAUAAUAAUAAUAUAUGAUAAAGAUAAUAAAUGUGCACACAUCGCCC
rnacentral:rRNA from 1 species